rnacentral:rRNA from 1 species
CCUACGGGAGGCAGCAGUGAGGAAUAUUGGUCAAUGGACGAGAGUCUGAACCAGCCAAGUAGCGUGAAGGAUGACUGCCCUAUGGGUUGUAAACUUCUUUUAUAUGGGAAUAAAACGUUCCACGUGUGGGAUUUUGUAUGUACCAUAUGAAUAAGGAUCGGCUAACGCCGUGCCAGCAGCCGCGGUAAUACGGAGGAUCCGAUCGUUAUCCGGAUUUAUUGGGUUUAAAGGGAGCGUAGGUGGAUUGUUAAGUCAGUUGUGAAAGUUUGCGGCUCAACCGUAAAAUUGCAGUUGAAACUGGCAGUCUUGAGUACAGUAGAGGUGGGCGGAAUUCGUGGUGUAGCGGUGAAAUGCUUAGAUAUCACGAAGAACUCCGAUUGCGAAGGCAGUUCACUGGACUGCAACUGACACUGAGGCUCGAAAGUGUGGGUAUCAAACAGGAUUAGAUACCCCAGUAGUC